CCUAUGGGGGGCAGCAGGCGCGAAACCUUUACAAUGCGCUAACGCGUGAUAAGGGUACUCCAAGUGCUUAUGCUUUGCAUAGGCUUUUGCUAAGGGCGAAAACCUUGGCGAAUAAGUGGUGGGAAAGACUGGUGCCAGCAGCCGCGGUAACCCCAGCGCCACAAGUGGUGAUCGGUUUUAUUGGGCCUAAAGCAUUCGUAGCUGGUUGAAACAGUUUCUUGUGAAAUCGGGACGCUUAACGUACCGGACUGCAGGAAAUACUAUUCAACUUGGGAUUGGGAGGAGCAAGAGGAAUUUUGGGGGAAGCGGUAAAAUGCUAUAAUCCCUAAAAGACCACCGAUGGCGAAGGCAUCUUGCUAGAACAAAUCCGACAGUCAGGAAUGAAAGCUAGGGGAGCAAACCGGAUUAGAUACCCCCGUAGUCC
rnacentral:rRNA from 1 species